CGGAAGAGGCGGGGCCCGAAGCGCCGAAAGGGCGGCGGAAGAGCUGUGCUUUCUUUUCCGCGCGGCCACCGAAGGAUGAGGGUGUGUGAGGCCCCGUUGGCCAAGCGGGCCGGGUGGCAGCGUCUGAGGGCCAGUCGCAGGGCUCUUCGAGGUGCAGCAGAGCCUAUGAGGUGAAGAUGAAUGAAGGUCAUCCUGAUGUUUUCCAGAAACUGCUUACAGGAUGGCUGUGAUAAAACCACUAGGAGCACAACUGCACGUAAUGAGCGUAUAGGUAGCUGCAGAUGAAUAUUCAAGUCCAAAACUGUCAUGGUUAAAAUUCAUUGCCUCAAAGACAUGCAGUUGAAAGGAGAAAUGAAGAAUUGGUCAAGAAGACAUGAAACAGAUAAUAAAAUUAAUAUUUUAUUUAACAUUGAUCACCUCACAAUAAAUGAUGUAGAAAAAAUACUCUUUGAGUACUUGUAAUUACUGGUCAGUAAUGCCUGUUACUUUUUAAAUAUCUCUAAACUGCUCCAUUUUCAUAAUCACUAGUCAGACUUGUUUUUAACAUCCUUUAAGGAUACUGUGUUCUUGUCAAUAACUAGCUCAUUUGUGGAUGAUUCCCUUUGAGAAGGCAGUCACCCAGGGAGACAUUCUAGUACCUCCAGUUCUCCUGCCCUUUCUUGCCUUAGGGGAUUUCAGCAAACUAGAUAACCAUAAGGUUUCCUCCAGAACCUGCUAUUAUACCUAAAAAACAAGUAUUUUGGAAUCG